UACGUAGGGUGCGAGCGUUAAUCGGAAUUACUGGGCGUAAAGGGUGCGCAGGCGGUUAUAUAAGACAGAUGUGAAAUCCCCGGGCUCAACCUGGGAACUGCGUUUGUGACUGUAUGACUAGAGUACGGUAGAGAGGGGUGGAAUUCCUGGUGUAGCAGUGAAAUGCGUAGAUAUCAGGAGGAACACCAAUAGCGAAGGCAGCUCGCUGGGACGUUACUGACACUGAGGCGCGAAAGCGUGGGGAGCGAACAGG
rnacentral:rRNA from 1 species